CUCCUUCCGGGUGCAGGCGGGCCUGGGCAGUCUGAGUCCUACCUCAGCCCCCACCUCACCUCCCUGCAUCCUCCUAGCAUCUCUGCAGGGCUAGCCCAGAGGUUGGCGGCGGAAGGCCCACAGCUCCCCUGGCUCCAUGGGCAAUGACCGAACAGCCCUUCACCUCUCUGGGCCUUGUUUUCUCAAACUGAAACUGGAGAGGAUGACCCCAGCCUGGGACCUUCGAGGGCCUCAAAAGGGCUCUGGGCCUUGCGUGACAGAGUCUUGCUGUGUUGCCCGGGCUGGUCUCGAACUCCUGGGCUCAAGUGAUCCUCCCGCCUUGGCCUCCUGAAGGGCUGAGAUGACGGCAUGAGCUGCCUCACGCAGCCCCCAUUCUACACCUCUGAAGUGAGUUUACAUGGUACAGUUGCUGUCUGGCUAGCUGCCGUCCCAACAUCACUGUCAGGACCCACACCUGAAAAGCACCAGCAUCAAAUCCUUCAGAAGAGUGUCAGCAGCUUGGAAGAAAUCCUAGAGGCAAGCAGAACCCUUU
rnacentral:lncRNA from 1 species